rnacentral:rRNA from 1 species
UGCCAGACUCCUACGGGAGGCAGCAGUGAGGAAUAUUGGUCAAUGGGCGGGAGCCUGAACCAGCCAAGUCGCGUGAGGGAAGACGGUCCUACGGAUUGUAAACCUCUUUUGCCGGGGAGCAACGGGGUCCUUGCGAGGGCCCGAUGAGAGUACCCGGAGAAAAAGCAUCGGCUAACUCCGUGCCAGCAGCCGCGGUAAUACGGAGGAUGCGAGCGUUAUCCGGAUUUAUUGGGUUUAAAGGGUGCGUAGGCGGUCCGUUAAGUCAGCGGUAAAAUUGCGGGGCUCAACCCCGUCGAGCCGUUGAAACUGGCAGACUUGAGUUGGCGAGAAGUACGCGGAAUGCGCGGUGUAGCGGUGAAAUGCAUAGAUAUCGCGCAGAACUCCGAUUGCGAAGGCAGCGUACCGGCGCCAGACUGACGCUGAGGCACGAAAGCGUGGGGAUCGAACAGGAUUAGAUACCCUGGUAA